ACAUUUGGGCAACCGCUGACUGCCUGCAGUUAGAGGAAAGUCCAUGCUCGCACGUCCUGCGAUGGACGUAGUGUUUGUGCUGGCUGAAUCAAUAAGGCCAGGCAGAGAAAUCUGACGGCCGGUAAUUCGCCUAAGGGAAACUAUGGCGGAACCGUUAAUGUGCCACAGAGACGAGCGCUGAAGAAAUUCAGCGGAUGGAACGGGUAAACCCCACAAGCGAGAAACCCAAAUUUGGUAGGGGAAUCUGUGUGAAUGAACUGAAAGGAUCACAGGACAUAGCAAUAUGUAGAUAAAUGGUUGCCACUUCUUAGGAAGGACAGAACAUGGCUUACAAAA
rnacentral:RNase_P_RNA from 2 species